rnacentral:rRNA from 1 species
UAAAACAGUUAUAGUUUAUUUGAUAAUUGAAUUAUACAUGGAUAACCGUGGUAAUUCUAGAGCUAAUACAUGCAGUAAAACCUGACUUUUUGGAAAGGUUGUAUUUAUUAGAUAUCAAACCAAUAUUCCUUCGGGUCUAUUGUGAUGAUUCAUAAUAACUGAUCGAAGCUUAGCUUGGCUAAGCUAAAUCAUUCAAGUUUCUGCCCUAUCAGCUUUCGAUGGUAGUGUAUUGGACUACCAUGGCAGUCACGGGUAACGGGGAAUUAGGGUUCGAUUCCGGAGAGGGAGCCUGAGAAACGGCUACCACAUCUAAGGAAGGCAGCAGGCGCGUAAAUUACCCAAUCCUGACUCAGGGAGGUAGUGACAAAAAAUAACAACGCGGGGCCUCACGGCUUACGAGAUUGGAAAGAAAACAAUUUAAACCACUUAUCUAGGAACAAUUGGAGGAAGG